AUGUGCAAGGCCAAGAGGGAGGGUGGAAUGGGCUUUCGGGAUCCGGAGGCAUUCAACCAAGCUCUACUGGCAAAACAGGCUUGGCGUGUCCUACAGCUUCCAUCUUCCUUGUGUGCUCGGGUGCUCAAAGCCAGGUACUUUCCUGAGGGGUUGAUCAUGAACGCCACGUGCCCCAAUGAAGGCUCCUUCACAUUUGAGAGUAUCAUUCAUGGU
rnacentral:rRNA from 1 species